AUGAUGAAUGUCGUGUUUCACCGUCAUGCUGUGCUGACUUGUAGAUGCUGUCUUGUAAAAAAUCUACCUAUUUUAAUUUUUUCUGUUAAGGUUGAAAUGAACGUGUCCCAUAUUUGUAUGGGAAAAUCGGUGGAGGCAUCAUUUCUCACGGUGAAGCUUAUCAUUUCCUUAAUUUGCAUCAUGCUUGUUCAUCUCCUCUUAGAACCUUUUCACUACUCUCACGGCUUUUACCUUCUUGGACACGCUAGGAUGUGUAACGUUCCUCAAACAACCCUAAAACACACGAACACCUGUGACCGUGGACGUCAACUUUUAGAGACGGGCAGUAUCGAUCGGCCUUUGUGCUCAUCGGUGGAGGACCAUUGUUCGAAAAGCUUCCGGGCCAGUUUUGGGGGAUCGUGGUUUGAGGACCACUGCAGUAGAAUUGGGGGAGCCCAUAGGUGCAGAAGGUUGAGGAAGCCAAGCUGGUGAUUGAGGAGGUGUCCUGUGGUGGCAGGUGAGCCAGGACUGUGGAGGAAGGGGAAGGGACACGAGGGAAAGACGAGUCAGGAAGCAGGAAGCGAUCGCAGCAGCCUAAGGGAGAGGUGAUGGCCCCCAGAGCAGGACAAUGGCGUGGGACUGACGUGAGAAACUAUUGAGCACCAUGGCUUUAGGGGCGAAGAAGGGAGGGGUUGGCGUGAUUCGGGUUAUGUCUGGAUGUUAUUUACUGAAAUCGGUGACGCGGUGAUUAUUCGCUUUUCCAUUCGUUUCAAAUGCUUCUCUUUUUUGAACCCUAGAAUUCUCACACCUGCCUCGACUUUCUGUUGACUUUGUUUUCAUUGACACGUGGCUUCGGGUGGGUGUGUUUGUGCGCACCGACACCACGCUGUGCUAAUAAUAACUGUGGAUGUGUAAUGUGUUCUCACUCUGGCAGAGCUGGGCUCCUUUGGCUUUCCUUUUUCAGUUGCUGUCUCCCAUUUCUGUGUAGAAGUGAAUUUUGGUAUCGUUUCUAGUUCCUAGAAAAAUUCUAUGAUUGUGAUUGGUCGAGAGCACAUUAAUCCAUGUAUUUAGUGGGUCCCUGCUAUGGGGUGGGUCCUGAGAACCCCAAAAUAAGUAAAUCCCAGGCAUCGAUGGCCUGGCAUAUCUGGGAACUAAACUUUGGGGAGGAUUGAUGUCCUUUCCCAUGAGCCUGGCACGUCUCUUUCUACACACAAAGGUUUUCUGUGCUUCCUGAGGGCUUUGUUGUCAUAGGAAGAGUGCCUGAUUAGUUCAGUUGGCAAACGUGAGUGGUGUUCGUGUCUGUCUAUAUCUUUAUGUGCUAAAUAAAGAUGUGCUAAAUGAGUCA
rnacentral:lncRNA from 1 species